ACGAGAGAUGAAAAGCCAUUGACGAAAAAGAAUUCGUCAUUGUUAAUAACAAAAAAAGCCGACGGAACUUUAAGCAAGCCGAUCGUGGUUGACUUGGAACGUGACAGUGAGAACGCUGGUGAAGAAGAAAGGGAGACCGAAGCGACGGAAGAGGAGAGCGAACGGGCGGCCUGGUGGCGGAAAUGUUUCGACGAUAGCGACUGGUUUUUCUAACCAAGAUCAAACAAGCGAGAGCAACGCGUACAAAAAUGAGAAUAACACGACUCAUGCCGCCUUCAAGAUAACAAAUGAACACCUAAGGACGUGAAUCAAAAUUGCGUGAAAUGGAAAACAACAGACUUUGAAAUUCUUAUAUGUGAAAUGAAAAAUUCAAUUUUCUUUGAUUUAAAAAAAUCGGACUCAUUUGCGUUUUUUGUUUACCCCGACGUUUUGGACGUGUUGCAACGUCUAUGGUCUCGAAGGGGCUGAAGAGGUAUAUGUCAUCUUCUAGCAAUCUGCGAGGUUUUCUUACUAUGCCCUUAGUUUUCAUUAUUUAUUUAUGCACUAGAAUUGUCCAUAGUGGACGUUGCAACGCGUCCGAAACGUUCAGGUAAAUAAAAUAUUUACUCGCGAUUAAGUCUCGAUUUUAUUUAAAUCAAAGAAUAUGAGAAAACUGAAAGUUUAUUUUUAUAUUAUACUAUAAAAAAAUGCAUUUUAAUUUUAAUUACGACAUUGCUUUUUAUUAAAUAACGCUCAAUAAUUACGAUAUUUACCAAAAUUCAAUUGCACAACAUUGCACAGCAUACUAUUUAAUAAUGUAAUCAAAGUCUGUGUUUUUCAAUUUUAUUUAAAAAUAUAUGUAUAACGCCCAAGUUUAAUGCCGUCUUUACACCCGCGGUUCUUAUCGAAAUGGAAAAGUGGACUUUAUUUUAUACAUAUUAAGAUUACGGACGUGAUGGUAGCGUGAGCUGCAAAACAAUAACUUUUUAACAAAUGUAUGUUUUAGACAAUCAUUACGAAAGAUGACCUCUUUUGAUUAUUUUUAUGUUAUUUUAUUUAUAAUAAAAUAAUCAUAUUGUUAAACUUUACAUAAUUUUAGGCCGUGUGUAAUAGACCGAUAAAUUGUAUGAUCUUACGUCAUGGAGAAUAGAUAACCAUUUUGUUAUUGCCUCGUAUAGUGUGUACAAAACUUUAAGGCGCGUUCAAAUUAGCGCUUGUAGGAGUGCUAUAGUCGGGCCACCAAACACUUAGUUAUGUUCCGCCAUUUGUAAUCGUCGCAUGGUUUGAUUCAUAUAUAGACAUGACCACGUACCAAAAAUAGUGUACACAGCAUGAUAAAAUAAGUCUCUCUUCCUAAUAAUUUAAUAGUAUAUAGUACUUCAUUCAAACAGCCAUAGGUAAAGAAAUAAAAUUAUAAUAAUAUAAGGGAAACUCUAACGAAUUAAAACACGAAGGAAAAAAAAAUAUUCUGACGAAGAAGCCUUACUUUUACUUAUUUUGUGCUCAAAAUCAAAAGAUUAUUUAGUAGGUCAGAUACCUUAGAACACAGACUUUACACAUACAACGUAUAAAAAAUUACUUACCUGACCGGUUAUUCCAUUAGCAGACAUGGUGUCCAGUGGCGAGGCGUGAAAAUUGUUGUUAGUAAAUCCGGAGCAAAACAAGAAACAACUACCUUAAGAAAAAAUGACGCCUUGGCGACACUAAAUCACACCUUAUUAGCACACAAGGUACUAGUACACUUCAUUUCACUGGUUAAUUUAUUGUACACUUAAAAUUUAGCACAAAAUGUAGUAUUUGAUAAUACGUGGAAAAUUUUAGCAAGCCGGUGAAAAUCGAGUUAUAUGGACGCCUCGCCACCGAUGGUUUCAAACCUAUUUAUUUUCCAAUCGAUACUGCAAUCUCUGAUCAGUUCCAUGCUGCAAGAUACAGUUCGUUUAAAUUUUUCAUGAAAUCGUCUAUUUGACUUUCAUCCAUCGUGGUCAAGUAAUAAAAUAAAACGCGUUUCUAGAAAUUGUGUAAAAUUUUAUAGUGGUGCUACAGACGCGCGACUCACCGUUUCUGCGAGCGUCUAAUUUAAACGUGCUCAAACAAAAAAUAAGUCGCUUGUACGUUCGGUGCUUGACAUUUCAUAGAUAAUUAUGUGUCAGACGAAGCAAGGCUAAUGCUAACUGCACAAUUAAUAAUAAUUAUACGGUUUUUAAAUCCAAGAUUCGGUGUCAUUCGAAUUUUAUGGAACAGGUGAAUAUAAUUCAAAAUAUGGUUACGACAUUCUGAUACCAACAUGUAAAGAAAAUAAUGCUGCAAUUAAAAUAUAGAACGUCACUGAGGAAAUGUAAGAGAAAGUUGAACUUAUGUUUGAUAGACUAAGGUAAAGUUUUCAUUGCAGUAGCGAAAUGAUAAGAGCAAGAAUUGCAUUGUGAUAUUAAUACGCUGUAAUGAAAUAAAACGCCGAAUAGCUCCGAAGCUUGGAAUUUUGAAAAUGGAAACGAGAAUUAAUUCGAAAUGGGUUUUGUGUAUUUUAAAUACCAGCCAUUUUCUCCAUGUGCGUGAGAAGUUUGAUUAUUCGUAGGUAGUUGUGUAUGUGAAACGCUUAAAUUUCAAGGUAUAAGUGUAAUGGACAAAUUGACCUUUAGCCAAAGAUCUACUGACGAAACAACGUGUUUAUUUAAGGCUAAGUCUAGCCUGAUGCGUGAGCCUGAAAUUUCUAGACACGUACUUACAUGACAAGUUUUAGGAGAUUACCACAGUAUUUACAGACCACGAAUGAGAACUGUAUUAAAGUAAAUUCAAUGCUUUUUGGAGUACCCCAUUUAUUGACACGGAAUCGUAUGGACCCUAUUAGAAAACGCUUUAAGUCCGUGGGAUAAGAGAUAAAAUUCCCGCGCUGGAAACUUCCACCGCCGCCUCUGUGUGGCCUGAGCAUAAGUUAACAAACAAUACGAAUAAAAAAAACUUGACUAAAUAAUUAUGUAACGAAUGAAUAAUAAACAUAACAGGUAACAUAUGCGCUGUACUGUUACGGAAUCCAUCAUCCACUCGGCGCAUUUCGUUUAGCGUCGUCGGUCCGAGGAAAUGCGCAACGUCCUUUUCGCAUGGCAUGUUUACACAAGGUCGACUGUCGCCUCAGAACGAAAAAAGGCACAAGUGCUGUAUAAAGUACGCUUAGUUGUGACUUUUUUCGUUACGAGUGUUGCCUCUUCGGUAAGAAAAUUCCGCUAAGAAAGGCGAUUCAAUCUCUGCGAUGUUUAUACCUAGUCGAUUGCCACCUUCGCCGAAAUAUCCAAAUCAUUAUAAAUACAAGUUUACAUAACAAAUCGUUCGAUAAGUUGUUGAAGUGUUGCCAGGGCCCUUAAGUAAAAAAUUACGCUUUUUUACCUAAAAAGUUGUAUUUUUGGUGCAAAUGUUACAUUUUCGUUUUUUAAUCAAAAACUCCAAGUGUAAACGAUAUAAUUAUUAUACGCGUGAAUCUUAACAAUAAUAAAGUAGAUACGUUCAAGAAAAGUUCUAAUAAGUCAUCGCCAGCUCGGAGUUAUUUUAUUAUCUAAUUUGGGUGCGUUCAUUAUGUAACUAUUUAGGAUUUUUAAAGACAAAUAUUAAAUUCAUCGUUCUCAAAGGUUACGAAAACUGUCUUAAAAACAAAAGCUAUUAAGUAUUGCGCGAGAGGGUCAUAAGUUACGAAAAAUGUAAGAAAUGAAACUACUUGCCAAUACUGGAUCGGGUGGGUAGAUAUUCCCCGGCCCUCAGCACGCGCAUCGUGGUAAGGCGGGAACGCCGACUUACACCUUCUACGGCCGUCAAACGACUCGGUGCACAAAGUAUACUAAUGCCAUUUAGUUUAAAAAAAACGAUCCAGUGUUUACACGCGGUUGGCACGCGUAGGCGACAUGUCGACCUAGUGUAAACGCGCCAUUAUUGAUGGACGUUAACAUUUUUCUGCCGAUUCCAUGUGAAUAACUGUGGUGACCCUUCAAACUAAUUUUGGUACAACACGGAACACAAGUCCAGUAAUUAUAUCUAUGUAACGGUAAAAAUAUUACUGUUUGAUAGUUUGUUCCUCAUAGGUUCGUGGUAUAAAGAAAUGUUAUUGUAUCGCUUUCGCUGACGUAGAAACGUAAAAUGUAUACGUCCAAACUAAACAGGGGCCAUGUCAUCUAUUGCCAUUCAUUGCAACAUUUUGCAUCGUUACAACGUUGUCUUGCAACAUUUGUACAUAAUCAUUGUCAAAUGUGAAUCAUAUACGCCCCCUUUAGCACGACUUAAAGUAAUUUACAAUAUUGAUGUAAAAAUGUUGUUUACACAGUUCCACCUUGAAUGAAAUGUUCUUGUAAAUAAAUAUUUUUUGAUGUAAUUGAAAGUUAUGCCGUUGUAUAAGGGACAAUAUAAGUCAUCCGACUGCAUUUACAUUAUUUUUACAUCAUUUGAGUAUACAAUAUUAACUAAUUAAGGACAAAUAUUUAAAAAAAGUGUAAAAUAAAAACAAUAUUUGAAAAGAAUCGGAAAAUGUAUUUAUUGUAUUAAAAUUCUAAACUUAAAAUAGUUUUGGUACUCGAUAUUUGCUUUAGUCGUGUUUUGGAUGUAUCUUUGAAAAUACUGUAAGUAUUCAGUAUUUAAAAAAAAGAAUCGCCCCAUUUAGGAUUGGACUUGAUUGUCAGCUAAUAUUAGCUUAGGCUGUAACUCGUAUAGAUGGUAAUUUUGCUUGAAUGACAGUAUUCACGAUAUGGUAUUGCAUAUAAAAAUUAAAGCACGUAUUCAAUAAAUGGAUGUGCAAUACAUAAUGACAUAUUUAAGUGGAAUUACAAAAACAAAUAUUAUGCAGGACGAAGCUCAAAUUUACAUAGUUUGUUUUAACUGCUUGUUGUAAACAAAAAUCCUAUAGUGCCUCGCCGUUCAACGUUGUAACAAAUAUUUUAACGAACGUAUUGUAAUACUGGGAAUUGUGCGGGAGUAUUACGAGGCAUACUAAUACAUUAAUAUUAUUUUUAUGCACAAUGCAUUACACAUAUCAUAUGAAAUAAUCAUUGCAUUAAAAAGUUUUCAAUUUUAUAUUUUAAAAAACCAUUCAUG